rnacentral:rRNA from 1 species
GAUGAACGCUGGCGGCGUGCCUAAUACAUGCAAGUAGAACGCUGAAGGAGGAGCUUGCUCUUCUGGAUGAGUUGCGAACGGGUGAGUAACGCGUAGGUAACCUGCCUGGUAGCGGGGGAUAACUAUUGGAAACGAUAGCUAAUACCGCAUGACAACAGUUAUUGCAUGAUAACUGUUUAAAAGGGGCAACUGCUCCACUACCAGAUGGACCUGCGUUGUAUUAGCUAGUUGGUGAGGUAACGGCUCACCAAGGCGACGAUACAUAGCCGACCUGAGAGGGUGAUCGGCCACACUGGGACUGAGACACGGCCCAGACUCCUACGGGAGGCAGCAGUAGGGAAUCUUCGGCAAUGGACGGAAGUCUGACCGAGCAACGCCGCGUGAGUGAAGAAGGGUUUCGGAUCGUAAAGCUCUGUUGUAAGAGAAGAACGAGUGUGAGAGUGGAAAGUUCACACUGUGACGGUAGCUUACCAGAAAGAGACGGCUAACUACGUG